GUUCGCUUCGGCGCACAUAUACUAAAACUGGAGUGAUACAGACAAGAUUCGCAUGGCCCCUGCACAAGGAAGACACGCGAAAUUCAUGAAGCAUUCCGUAUUUCA
rnacentral:snRNA from 1 species